rnacentral:rRNA from 1 species
UACGUAGGGUGCGAGCGUUGUCCGGAAUUAUUGGGCGUAAAGAGCUCGUAGGCGGCUUGUCACGUCGGUUGUGAAAGCCCGGGGCUUAACCCCGGGUCUGCAGUCGAUACGGGCAGGCUAGAGUUCGGUAGGGGAGAUCGGAAUUCCUGGUGUAGCGGUGAAAUGCGCAGAUAUCAGGAGGAACACCUAUGGCGAAGGCAGCUCGCUGGGACGGUACUGACGCUGAGGCGCGAAAGCGUGGGGAGCGAACAGG